GACGAACGCUGGCGGCGUGCUUAACACAUGCAAGUCGAACGAUGAAGCCUAGCUUGCUAGGUGGAUUAGUGGCGAACGGGUGAGUAAUACGUGAGUGACCUACCUUUGACUCUGGGAUAAGCCUGGGAAACUGGGUCUAAUACCGGAUACGACCAAUCUCCGCAUGGGGUGUUGGUGGAAAGCGUUAUGGAGUGGUUUUAGAUGGGCUCACGGCCUAUCAGCUUGUUGGUGAGGUAAUGGCUUACCAAGGCGACGACGGGUAGCCGGCCUGAGAGGGUGACCGGCCACACUGGGACUGAGACACGGCCCAGACUCCUACGGGAGGCAGCAGUGGGGAAUAUUGCACAAUGGGCGCAAGCCUGAUGCAGCGACGCCGCGUGAGGGAUGACGGCCUUCGGGUUGUAAACCUCUGUUAGCAUCGAAGAAGCGAAAGUGACGGUAGGUGCAGAGAAAGCGCCGGCUAACUACGUGCCAGCAGCCGCGGUAAUACGUAGGGCGCGAGCGUUGUCCGGAAUUAUUGGGCGUAAAGAGCUUGUAGGCGGUUGGUCGCGUCUGCUGUGAAGGCUGGGGCUUAACCCUGGUUUUGCAGUGGGUACGGGCUAACUAGAGUGCAGUAGGGGAGACUGGAAUUCCUGGUGUAGCGGUGGAAUGCGCAGAUAUCAGGAGGAACACCGAUGGCGAAGGCAGGUCUCUGGGCUGUAACUGACGCUGAGAAGCGAAAGCAUGGGGAGCGAACAGGAUUAGAUACCCUGGUAGUCCAUGCCGUAAACGUUGGGCACUAGGUGUGGGGGACAUUCCACGUUUUCCGCGCCGUAGCUAACGCAUUAAGUGCCCCGCCUGGGGAGUACGGCCGCAAGGCUAAAACUCAAAGAAAUUGACGGGGGCCCGCACAAGCGGCGGAGCAUGCGGAUUAAUUCGAUGCAACGCGAAGAACCUUACCAAGGCUUGACAUAUACUGGACUGCGUCAGAGAUGGCGUUUCCCUUCGGGGCUGGUAUACAGGUGGUGCAUGGUUGUCGUCAGCUCGUGUCGUGAGAUGUUGGGUUAAGUCCCGCAACGAGCGCAACCCUCGUUCUAUGUUGCCAGCACGUGAUGGUGGGGACUCAUAGGAGACUGCCGGGGUUAACUCGGAGGAAGGUGGGGAUGACGUCAAAUCAUCAUGCCCCUUAUGUCUUGGGCUUCACGCAUGCUACAAUGGCCGGUACAGAGGGUUGCGAUACUGUGAGGUGGAGCUAAUCCCUAAAAGCCGGUCUCAGUUCGGAUUGGGGUCUGCAACUCGACCCCAUGAAGUCGGAGUCGCUAGUAAUCGCAGAUCAGCAACGCUGCGGUGAAUACGUUCCCGGGCCU
rnacentral:rRNA from 1 species